AAACACAGAUCCUGGUGCCGAACAUGAGGACAAGACAGGCCGAAGGAGAAAGUGGAAGGAGGGGAUCUUCUCUCUCAGCCUCAUCCUCCUGGGCCUGGAUGCUGGAGAGUCAUGAGGUGCUUCAGAGUACUCUGGGUGAGGAGGGAAAGAUGGUGCCCACCACAUGGAGGCCAGCCUAGGUCUUGUAUGAAACCCGUGAGCUCUCAUGAACCAGUACAGUCCUGCUUGAGCAUAGCCCUGGGUCCAAAGGAAAAGAAGAAAAUGCUGAGUGUGUGGGUGGAACAUCUAACCUCUUCGGACGUACAAGGCUCCUGCCUAUUUCAUCCUCUCCCCUGGCACGGCAGCAGAUGCAACUCUGGAGUGGGGGAAGAGGGCGGGAAAAGAGCCUGUGCUGCUGAGCACCUACCAGGACUUGUCAGGGCCCAGGCACCCUAUGAAACACCUUAUGUUGAUUAUCCCACACCAAGCUCGCAAACCUCUGAGGUAGGCAACUUUGUCUCAGAGACAGGCUGAGUAACAAGCCCAAAGUCAAACAGCCAGGAAGAGACAGAACUGUAUUAAACUUAUCUACUGGACCCCAAA
rnacentral:antisense_RNA from 1 species